rnacentral:lncRNA from 1 species
GUACAUUAUGGCUCUCUCCUUGCCUGGAACUGGAUAUGAGAAAUGCUUGAAUUAAGAUCUGUGAAUUAUCUUAUUUUCUUGUCAGAAGGAUGCAGAUUGCCCAUACUUCAUAGCAGAGCAACAGGAGGGACUUAGGGACAAAAAGAGGAAAACGAAGGCAUUACAAAACAAGCAUAUUAAGUAUACGAUUCACAUCCCAACAGCUCAAAGGCAAGGAAGACUGAGGAAGCUAAGUUACUGGCCAUAUGUUUAAUAAAUAUAAGCUUAAUGGCAGUGAAUGUAUUAAUGUCAGCGAAGACAAGUCUAUGAAGUUAAACAGGCACAGAGAGGCUAAGAGUCUUGCCAAAGGCCACAGAGGAAGGAAGAGACUAAAUCUGGAACAAACUUUCUAUUCUCCAUUUCCAGAAGAAACCACUAAACCAUGCUUCCUCUUGUCAUGGAAGCUUAAAAUAUUUGGACUGUCUGUGGAUCCAGGGAGGAAUUUCAGAAGAGCCAGGAUUAGUCAAUCAAAUUAAACUCAAUAUCACCCAAAUAAAGUUGGUCAGAUCAAACUACGUUUAAAUAAGAAUUAAAAUGCCAUUUGUCCAUCACCUAAUGGCUCAAUUUGCUCCUGCCUUGGGUGUGCACACCCUGCUCUGGAACAGACCAGAGCUCUAAAGAAGUGACUGGAAGUUGUGAAUGUCAUUGUUAUGAAGCUUCAAAUUUGCUCUCCUCUUUAGGACACAGACAUGGCAUUAGAGAAGGGCAGAAAACUGCACUUGGCUGUGCAUAGAGAACACUAGAGACCUCUUGUGCAAGAGAGGGGACUAGGUUGCGUAGUGUAAUGAGAGAAGCAUGGGUUUUGAGACCGCUACAAUGUCUGUGUCUUCUUGGCCAACAUUUCAGUAAGAGUAGUAAGCAUAUCUCCACAAUAGGGUUAAGAGAACCAGUGUCUUCUGAAAAACACAUGAAAUCAUCGUAACCCUGCUAAGUCUGUGCUUUGCAAAAAUUAAAACUAAAACUAAUUUUCA